GACUCAUAGGAGACUGCCGGGGUCAACUCGGAGGAAGUUGGGGUAUUGACGUCAAGUCAUCAUGCCCCUUAUGUCCAGGGCUUCACGCAUGUUACAAUGGCCGGUACAAAGGGCUGCGAUCCCGUGAGGGGGAGCGAAUCCCAAAAAGCCGGUCUCAGUUCGGAUUGGGGUCUGCAACUCGACCCCAUGAAGUCGGAGUCGCUAGUAAUCGCAGAUCAGCAACGCCGCGGUGAAUACGUUCCCGGGCCUUGUACACACCGC
rnacentral:rRNA from 1 species